rnacentral:lncRNA from 1 species
UGGGGGGCGUGGGCGAAGUUCGUCCGCGGGACUCGGAAUGGCCCCAUACUUGGCGGGCGGCCUCCGUGUGCCAAAAAUAGGCCACGGGCACAGCCGCGCCCAAAAAUCAGCCGCCGAAGGUCGGGGUCCCAAGACCCCCCAGCGGAAAAAUGGCCAAAAAACGGGUGGGCUAUAGCCUUGGUGGGGGGAGUGGGCGAAGUUCGUCCGCCGGACUCGGAAUGGCCCCAGACUUGGCGGCCGGCCUCCGUGUGCCAAAAAUAGGCCACGGGCACAGUCGCGCCCAAAAAUCAGCCCCCGAAGGUCGGGGUCCCAAGACCCCCCAGCGGAAAAAUGGCCAAAAAACGGGUGGGCUAUAGCCUUGGUGGGGGGCGUGGGCGAAGUUCGUCCGCGGGACUCGGAAUGGCCCCAGACUUGGCGGACGGCCUCCGUGUGCCAAAAAUAGGCCACGGGCACAGCCGCGCCCAAAAAUAAGCCCCCGAAGGUCGGGGUCCCAAGACCCCCCAGCGGAAAAAUGGCCAAAAAACGGGUGGGCUAUAGCCUUGGUGGGGGGCGUGGGCGAAGUUCGUCCGCGGGACUCGAAAUGGCACCAGAUUUGGCGGCCGGCCUCCGUGUGCCAAAAAUAGGCCACG